GUUGGGGUUAGGGCUGGUUGGUGUUGGGGUUAGGGUUAGUUGGGGUCAAGGUUGAGGUUGGGCUUAGGGUUAAGGUUGGUCUGGGUUAGGUUUAGGGUUGGUCUGGUUACCUGCUCUGAUCUGUCCCACUGCUUUUCUGGUCAUCAGACUUUACUUUCUCUUGUCUCAUACUUGAUAUUUGUGAGUUUUCUGGUUCUCAUGGUUCUGGUCACCAAAGGCUUUUUGGAGGAGUUGUUUUUGCUGCCUUAUACUUGGUCAUGUGCCACUUUAACAUGCGCUUUCCCCUUACUUUUACUUUUCUGCACCUGGCAGUUAUUACAGUGCUUCGUUUUGCCUGGCUGCUUAUGUGGCCUGAGGUUUCUGUGGUGUCAUACCCAGUAGAGUCUACAGUACCUUUUGCUUUUAAUCAGUUAAACUUUUCAGAAAGAGUUACUUUGUUAACAUAGAGCUUUACGGUAUAAUUUCGUGUAAUUCAGCGUGAUAAAUAUAAGAGGCAUGUGAUGCACUAUUGUCACAGCGCUGGCUCUCCAUGUGCCAUUUUCCUGCAGCUGUCUGAGCAGGUCGAGCGGCUACGUGUCCCAGCUGUCUAAGUGCAGUGGCCCGGCCCACUUGCUCCUGGCCUAUUGCCCCUUGCAACUGGAGUUGAGGGCUGACCAUACCUGCUUGGUGUCGCCAUGACAGUGUGGCUCCACUCAGCAGCCCACAACUUCUCUAUUCUCACAAUCUUGUUCUGGACAUACACUGGAUUCACUGCCAACGAGCCCAUAGGCCUCAGGUCAGUGCUAUUGAGCAGGAGAGACCUCCAGGGGGCAGCCUGUUCAUGUGCCGUCUGUACUUCUCCAUACUGUACCUGUCAGGUAGUGAAACACUGGUGCUUGAUCCGUUAUGCACGAAUAUUAAUGUGCAGGAAAUUCAGCCCCAAGUGCGUAAUAUGAAACACCAGCCAACAAGGGCUUCAGCUGCCAGGAGUAGCGUUAUACAGUACAGUGCGUUGUGUUCUUGUAGCCUUCUCGACUACAGCAUUUUCAUGUGGGUCUCAAUCUCUCAGUACAACAAAGCAACAUAUCAGCUAUCCAAAAGUAUUUAUGCACCAUUUGCUUUUUUCCUGACCAUAGCUGUCCUACAGUUGUGGUGUUAUUUUACUGAUUACAGUCAGGUGAAAAUAGUUUCAUACUCGUUUGGCCUAAGCUUGGAUAAAUCAGUAGAAUUAGUUUUUAAAUUCUAACCCAACUGCUAGACGACUGACCUUUACCCUAGUUGGCGAGUUAGCGUAGGUGCUUGGUUCAGAUUGUUUCAAGUACACCUGUAGGAGCUCUUCUGACCUGUAGUUAUCAAGCAAACACACAAAUGAUUGUUCCUGCCUCUCAGAGGUCCUGCCGCCUCUCUCUAGUUUAAUUUGAUCCUCUGCAUCUGCUUAGGACUUUUGCAGUUAUAUGUUAUGAAGGUUACAGUUUUGAUGUCAAAUGGGGUUCUCAAAUUGCCAGCAUGGAAAUGUUAAAGGUGAGGUUUCGCCUGCCUGGGAGAGUGUCGUACACAUGCAUGGUCCUCCCAGCAGAGCUGAGGACAUGCUGGUGAAUUUUAAAGUAACAUUGUGAAACAGCUGUUUCAGAAAAGGGGAUUUUGUGUGUAAAAAAAAAAAAAAAAAAAGUUGUGUUUGUGACAAUCUGUCUUCGUUAAGACUUUAAAUGGGUACUAAAUGGGUGGAAUGGGUAUCUUGGGAGGCUCUGUGUAUCUGCCCAACAACAGCAUAGCUAACUGAACUGUACAUCCUUUAAAAUGUGUCCAGUUUGCUUUCAUGCACAAAAGAUAUUAAUAUUAAAUGUCCUCAAAAGAUAGAGAUUAUUUACCUGGAGGGUUUGAUUAUUAGAAGUAUUUAUUUUCAGACAGAGGUGUCUAUAUUGUUGGCAUGACCCCGUGUUAAGAAGCUCAUCAUCAUGCUGCCUUGCCUGUAUCCUGUUGUUUCUGUAGCUGGUAGCUGAUUGGUACCUGGUCGUGUAAAGCUUGCUUGCACAGGAGAUUAUGUAUUUGAUUAUAUUUUACUUAGUAGAGGCUCCAAGACAAAAAGAAAACUGUUUUGUGCAAUAUUAAAAUGCUCUCUGGCUCUUUCCAGUCUUGUGUUUCUAGUGUCAUUAGUCUCACGUGAAGCACUUUAGAAACAUUCAUGGGUCUGCAGUUAGGAAAUUUGUAAACUCUGUUUUCUCUGCAGUGGGGCCACACAGUGGACAGUGUAAAUAAGGUAGAACCUCAUGGUAGAAGUGUUUUCAACCUAUGCUGCACAAACAAACGUCCAUCCCACUGCUACAGCCUGUGUGAACCUUACAGCUGGGUGUCCACACAAGUAGACAUGCUACCUUGAUGGGUUAGUUGCAGUGUUGUAGUUGACACCUGUUACCUGGAAGUGAGGAUUCACAUGGAGUGAAAAGGCAGGAACUGCAGUUUGUGAGUCCCGAUCAAAUGCAAGCUGUUCCCUCUGUCCUUCGCUCACAUUUAUGGUCGUUCUGUUCUCCCGACUCAGAAAUGCUUCAUGGUGUCUCAGCACGGAUGCUCUGACAGGGGAACCCAUCCUUGUUCACUGUCUCUCAUCCUGUUUUAAUGUUACAUGUUACAUUGAGACCGACUGUGUGCCAUUAUAAUGUAUAAAUUGUAAAUUUUAAUGAAUGAUGUAGUUUUCCAUGUCUGAGGUCUCCUUCUUUCUCAUUGAUCAUUUCCAUACGCAAUUGCUGUUUCCCAACAGAAAGCAGUCAUACAUAACCUGAUUAGAUGUAUCUGGGUUCAUUGGUGCAGUCUGGUGCAUUAUCACAAACCAAUAAGGACUGGCCUAGUGAUCUAAAUGUCUGUGCCGGUCCAACCGUACCUGUUGAGUGUCUGUGGAACGAAAGUAAGCACUUUGUUUUGCAUAUUUUAAAUAAGGCGUAAAUAUGAUGAAAACGCUCAACAAAGCCAUGCAAAGUGAUCCAAACGUGGGUCAAUGACAUGAAACCUGAUUUAUUUUAUUUUUUUCCUUUAAAGUGAUUAAAUUUGUUUUGAAUGUUUUUGCAAGUUUUACAUUUCGCCAUUUUAAUUUGUAGUCUUUAUGAUGCAUUCUAGAACUUAGUUUUGAAAUAAUAUAUCACAGUCUAAAUACCACGGGGAUGGAGGUGGAUACACCGCAGCCAAGAAGAUGGUGAUCAUGUUAUUUUGGUUAGUUCAAGAGGAACCGCACAAUGGCAAUUGUAAUUUUAAAAUCACCCAUUUGCACUACACAACCAGACUGGAGGUUACGGCCGUGGGUACAGUGUACCUCGUCCUAAACAUUUGACAUAUUACGAUACACCCUGUACACGUAGAUUUGCAAACCAUUCCAAUUCAUUUGAAUUUGAUAUUCCAUAUGGGUCCCAACAGCUGACACCAAAGCUCUUCUGAAAAGAAUUAGCAGCAGCGUCAUGAACUGGCAUGACAGUUCAUCACUGAGCAAUGCUGUGCUAAAGGCUCAGCGAUUAAAAAAAGCCCGAACACAACAGCAUCUAUGCAUGAAAUGAUCCGUUCCAGACCAACAGCAUCUGGAGUCUUUAGUUGACUCUGGUAAUGGAGACUGGGAUCUUAUCUUUGACAAGGUACAGUUGCAUUCUGAUUUAUUGGCUACGAACAUUUCACCCUACUGAAGGAAAGAAAUACAUUGAGAUAUUACUACUUAAUUGGUUUGCGUCGUAGUCUAAAGAUCAUUGAUGAAGACGAUGAACAGCUCAUGGCUUAGGAGAACAGUUGCUGUCCUGUGGACGUCUUGUUACUGAGAGAGUAAGGUCUGCUGAAUAUUCACCUUCUCUUAUGCUUGCGUGAAAUGUGUGAUUUACUGGAAGACCGUCACUCGAUUUGCUAUGACGCCAAGGAUGUGGGCAAAACACAUGUUGCCGUUGUGCAGAAUUUCAGGCAGUAACUAGACACACCACCUUCCACAGUAAAGAGAAGAGGAGCCGGUGUUUGAAGUCUGGCUGCAGCGUCCAGCUUGUGCUGAAAAACACUGAAGAAAUGACAAGUUUUUCCCCUGUAUAUGAGGUUAAACCAGGAAGAAACAACCAUCACGGUAAGGCUACGCUGUUGCUCAUUUUGUUCACUUACACUGGCUGCGUUCCAGUUUUGGCAGCCUUCAGAAUUGUAAAAUGGUACCAGAAAAUUUGUCCUUACUAUUACUAUUUGUCCUUUCUAUGCAUUGUGAGACAUUCUGGGCUUGUGAGAUUAAGUGAAAAGCCGUUGGUUGUCUGUGUCUGCAGCCAGUAACGGGGAAGGUGGUGUGUUCAUCUUGCAUCGUGGAAAUCACUGAGCUCAGCCCGUUCGACAGUCGUGGGGUAAAUCGUCUCUUUUGGAAUGGUUUGCAAAGCAAUUUGCUGCAGUCAUUUUUCUAGCUCAGAUUGUAACUUUUGAGGCAUUUGGUUAGGUAAUACCAAUAUUAAUAUUAAUACCAACAUCGCAUGUUAUGCACAUCCAAUUCUUACAUCGCUUCUGAAUAUUAGUGAGGUCCAAAUGAAUAAUCAUUUUAUAUGACUGUCUUCCAUGCAAUUCUAUGCUUAGGGCAGGUCAUUAAGCUCACACUACCUCGACUGACACAUUGUACACAUUGUACUCAGACACUCACACUGUAAUAGGAUUUAUUUCUUAUUUAUUACUUUAACUUAUGCUGCUGAACUAUUUUUCACUGUUUCUGUAAUAGUGACAUAAAGAUCGAUCUUAUCUUAUCUUUAUAGAC